rnacentral:rRNA from 1 species
UACGUAGGGGGCAAGCGUUGUCCGGAAUCAUUGGGCGUAAAGCGCGUGUAGGCGGCUUGGUAAGUCUGCUCUGAAAGCCCGGGGCUCAACCCCGGGAGGCGGGUGGAUACUGUCAAGCUCGAGUCCGGAAGAGGAGUGUGGAAUUCCUGGUGUAGCGGUGAAAUGCGCAGAUAUCAGGAGGAACACCGGUGGCGAAGGCGGAUCUCUGGGCCUUACCUGACGCUCAGGCGCGAAAGCUAGGGGAGCGAACUGG